AGGACUGAAUAGAUUUUAAACACUCAGCACAUGGAGAACAUGCUUUUAGAUUCUUGAAACCAGAUCUUCUAUUUCUCUGUAGUUACUAUGGUGAUAGAUGGUAUAGAGAUGUGCAGAUCCUAUUGUGACCUCUCCUUGGUGCAGGGAUGCCAUGAGUCUCUGGCUUCAUUGUCCACCAAGGCCUGGCAGAUCUGGCUGCUUCCCUUCAUGCACUGAGUGGUAGAGGUGCUGUCCUUGCCUCUGGGACCAGCUAUCUCCAGCCUUGGCCUGCCCUGCUAGUCAACAAAAGCAGGACUCGUCAGGGAACAAUCUUCUCGGGUUGCCGUGUAAUCUGAGCAAGUGAAGGAAGCUUCUGGUUUAACUGGGGAAACAUGAUGACAGCACUUGUGAAAGCUGAAGAAUAAUCACCUCUUAUUAAUGUGAUGCCAGUGCUAUACAGGAGUAAACUCUGAGCUGGGAACAGCCUUCUGGACCAGAAGAGUGAGCACCCAGGAAUCACACUCGGCAACAAUGUCAGCGGAACUGGAGACUGCGGAGGGGGUGGAUGAGUCGGAGAAAAAGAGCUCCGGGGCCUCAGAAAAAGAGAACCACGCCAGGAUGGCUGACCUCUCUGAGCUCCUGAAGGAAGGGACCAAGGAAGCACAUGACCGGGCAGAAAACACCCAGUUUGUCAAGGACUUCUUGAAAGGCAACAUCAGGAAGGAGCUGUUUAAGGUUGGUGCCCUUGGUUGUGGAUAGGGUCAG